UACGGAGGGGGCUAGCGUUGUUCGGAAUUACUGGGCGUAAAGGGCUCGUAGGCGGCCAACUAAGUCAUGCGUGAAAUCCCUCGGCUUAACCGGGGAACUGCGUCUGAUACUGGAUGGCUUGAGUUCGGGAGAGGGAUGCGGAAUUCCAGGUGUAGCGGUGAAAUGCGUAGAUAUCUGGAGGAACACCGGUGGCGAAGGCGGCAUCCUGGACCGAUACUGACGCUGAGGAGCGAAAGCUAGGGGAGCAAACGGG
rnacentral:rRNA from 1 species